UGUCCUGCCAAGGGCAUGGCUGGGUAGCUAUGUACGGAAUGGAUAAGCGCUGAAAGCAUCUAAGCGCGAAGCCAACUUCAAGAUAAGAUUUCCCACCGCAAGGGUAAGACCCCAGAAAGACUAUCUGCUUGAUAGGUCGAAGGUGUAAGUGCAGCAAUGUAUUUAGCUUAUCGAUACUAAUAGGUCGAGGACUUGACCAA
rnacentral:rRNA from 1 species